rnacentral:misc_RNA from 1 species
UCCCCGUUACCGAGGCAGUCUGAUUAGACAUAUACAACUAAUCACGAGGGUUGCGCUCGUUGAAGGACUUAACCUAACAUCUCACGACACGAGCUGACGACGGCCAUGCAUCACCUGUCACUAGGUUCCUUGCGGCACAGCUCUAUUUCUAGAGCCUCCCUAGGAUGUCAAACCUUGGUAAGGUUCUUCGCGUAGCCUCGAAUUAAACCACACGCUCCACCGCUUGUGCGGGUCCCCGUCAAUUCCUUUGAGUUUUAGCCUUGCGGCCGUACUCCCCAGGCGGGAUACUUAACGCGUUAGCUUCGCUACCGAAAGGGUCGAUACUUCCGACAGCCAGUAUCCAUCGUUUACGGCGUGGACUAC